CAGUCGCCACGGUAAUACGUAGGGUGCGAGCGUUAAUCGGAAUUACUGGGCGUAAAGCGUGCGCAGGCGGUUUUGUAAGACAGGCGUGAAAUCCCCGGGCUCAACCUGGGAAUGGCGCUUGUGACUGCAAAGCUAGAGUGCGGCAGAGGGGGAUGGAAUUCCGCGUGUAGCAGUGAAAUGCGUAGAUAUGCGGAGGAACACCGAUGGCGAAGGCAAUCCCCUGGGCCUGCACUGACGCUCAUGCACGAAAGCGUGGGGAGCAAACAGGAUUAGAUACCCGAGUAGUCCCUGUCUCUUAUAC
rnacentral:rRNA from 1 species